CCGCUUGCCGCUGCAACCUGCCGUGUGCGUCUGCGCACUGGGGGCAGGCCCAGGCCACCGAGCGUCCACCAACUGGACUAAGACCACCUUGUGUCGUCACUUGUGACCGAUCUUCUGCACUCCCACCCUCAGCACUGUUUUAGACCCUGUUCAUCCUUCUGGGCCCAUCUUGUACACAAAACUUCGCAGUGAUCUUUGUGAACAGCCAUGACUCCUCUCUCAAGUCGGAGCCCUUUUCAGGUCCCCAGAAAACUUGGAGAAGAAAAGUCUAACCUGAAAAGCCAUAUCCCUAGACCAUUUCUUCUCUUCCAGCUGGAAAGGAACUAUGGGGCAAACAGGCAAUGUUGCAACUUAACCCUGUGUUAGGUUGUUUUUUUUUUUUUUUUUUUUUUUAGACAGAGUCUCGCUCUGUCGCACAGGCUGGAGUGCAGUGGCAAUCUCGGCUCACUGCAACCUCCACCUCCCAGGUUCAAGUAAUUCUCCUGCCUCGGCCUGCCGAGUAGCUGGGAUUACAGGUGCGCGCCACCAUGCCCAGCUAAUUGUGAUCCGCCCACCUUGGCCUCCCAAAGUGCUGGGAUUACAGGCAUGAGCCUGUAUGAUCCCAGGGUGCCCUCUGUCCUCCUGCAAGUGCUUGUUAUCUUUCUUUUUAAAUUAAAAAAAAUUUUUUGUGGCUACAUAGUAGGUAUAUGUAUAUAUAUAUGUAUAUGUAUAUAUAUAUAUUUAUGGGGUAUAUGGGAUAUUUUGAUUCAGGCACACAGUGU
rnacentral:lncRNA from 10 species